UCAGUUCUCCUAUGAAAGCUAAGAAUAUAGCACAGGGUUCAAUUUCCAUCACCCGAAGUAAUCCCUCCGCUUAUUUUCAUUCCAUACCAAGGACUGGGGUCUUAGUUCCAGGUAAUACCAAAAUCUGACGCCUCUGAAAUUCAUUUCACUUUCCGGCAAAUUUCCAUACCCAUUUCCGCGCGCCUGUUCAGGGCUCGGGAUCUUCACACAAGUUAUCAGUGGCAUUGCUGAAACUUGGAAUUAAUGGAUGUCGAUGGAGGAGGCGUCUCAGCAGUUGCAACAGAAGAACGAACAAUUCCUAUACAUUCUGGGAGAAAUGAAGCUUUCUAUCAGUUUACACAGCAGAAGCUCCCAGCUUGUAAACCAGUCCUAACACCAGCUUGGGUCAUUUCUAUAUUUCUAUUGAUGGGUACCAUAUUCAUUCCUAUUGGCCUUGUUACUCUUCAUGCUUCCCAAAGUGUUGUUGAAGUUGUGGACAGAUAUGAUAUUGAAUGCAUACCGGAAGCAUUUAAAAGCAAUAAGCUGGGGUAUAUCAAAGACAGCUCAAUUCCCAAAAACUGUUCUCGCUUCUUAAAGGUGUACAAACGAAUGAAAGCCCCAAUUUACAUCUACUAUCAGCUUGAUAACUACUAUCAAAACCACCGAAGGUAUGUCAAAAGUAGAAAUGAUCAGCAGCUCUUGCAUGGACUAAAGUACAAUGAUACAAGUUCCUGUAAACCUGAGCAGACCAAUAAUGGUCUUCCAAUUGUCCCGUGUGGAUUGAUAGCUUGGAGUUUGUUUAAUGAUACAUAUAAAUUUAUUCGUGGGGCAUCUGAGUUGAAGGUCAACAGAAAGAACAUAGCAUGGAAGAGUGACCGUGAUCACAAAUUUGGGAAGCAUGUAUAUCCCUUUAAUUUCCAAAAUGGGACCUUGAUUGGUGGUGGAAAGUUAGAUCCAAGAAUUCGUCUAAGUGAUCAAGAAGAUCUUAUAGUAUGGAUGCGCACUGCUGCUCUCCCUAGCUUCAGGAAGUUGUAUGGUAGAAUUGAAGAGGAUUUAAAUGCAGAUGAUGUUAUAGUAGUCAACCUAAUGAACAAUUACAACACCUACAGUUUUGGUGGGAAAAAGAAGCUUGUACUUUCAACAUCGAGCUGGUUAGGAGGGAAGAAUGACUUCCUUGGGGUUGCCUACAUUUCUGUUGGUUCUUCUUGUAUAUUUGUCUGCUUUGUUUUCAUACUGCUUCAUAUGAAAUAUCCAAGGUAAUAUCUCAGUAAAUACAUAUCAUAACUUGCUGUCUCAGCAUAUUCAUCCUCCUCUUCAUCUGUAACAUAAUGCCUUGCAUUCUAACAACUAGAGCUCAAUUCUUUCGAUAAGUUGUUAACUACUUGAAUUCUUUCAAAACCCACAUGCUUGCACAUGGCCAUUCAUUCUAACCGACUAACAUGCUUUCGGUUUUCAUAUCUCAGACGCUUACUUUGUAAUAUGGAAAUUUAGUGUUAUGCUAUAUGUGACGCCUCAUCCUACUCCCAUCCCACGAUGUUGAUGUGAUACUAUCCAUCAGCUUGGAUCGGCUCUUGUUUAAAAAUUAAAAAAAUAAAUAAAUAACUCGAAGGCUGAUGGAUAGUACCACAUCAGCAUAGUGGUAUGAGGGUAUAGUUUUUAGCAUUUCUCUUACAUUUAUUGCUACACUUUUGUUGUUACGGUCACCUUUUUAAUCUAACAGGUUUCAUUUCUAUCACUACUAUACAAUUGGUCGCCAUAUGUAUAGGGAAUGUGUGGUAUGUUAUACAGAAUGUUUGCCAUAUAUAUGGCCAUGAGUUUGGGCCUUAACCUUAUCCUCUGUAAAUGAAGAUUUGUUUAGUAAAUGAAAUUUAUUAAUAGAUUGGCCGUUCAUAGUGAUGCACUGAUGAAGAUGAAGAAAUUAAAAGCCAAACAUUUGUCUUAAGGCCUUAUGGGGGACACAACUUAUUUAUCUUGGAACAAGAGAGGAAAUUGUAGUUGAAAAGCUGAUGCUGAAUUAGGCAGAUCAAGGAUUUGAAUUUUUCACGAAACAGGCCACACACAUUGGAUCCUAUUACUUGAAGUCUGCUCAUUGAAGUUGUACAUUCCUGGUGUAAAGAUAUAUGGAGCUCUUUGGACAUGCAGCAGACACCUUAACAAUUCGGAAACUUGAUAGUCGGUUUUAAGGUGUUCUAGUUUUUGCAAGUUACCUAUCUUCCCUUUGUUACUAUGACAUUUAUGAUUAUAAUCAUUUACAUAGAGAGGAUUGGUCAUCAAUGGAUGAUGACUUUGAACAUCAUAUGUUUGCAUUGAUUUUGAAAGACCGUGGCUGAAUCUGAGAGUGUAUACCGAUGUACUGAUUGUCAAAAUUGGAUAUCCGUUGAAUCUGAAGAUUAUGUGAUAGUGUCCCAAUUACA